rnacentral:lncRNA from 1 species
CUUCCUGCUCCACUCUCUCCUGCUCCGGGGCCCCCGUCAUUUGUUCUCUGUGUGUGAAUUCUCUCUCUUGGCCAGCCACUGAAGCCAGAUUUCGUUUGUGAAGCUGACCCUUCCAGGAGUCUCUGUCUCCUCACUGACCCAUCCCUUCUCAGCCCACUACAGUUGUAGUUCUGGCACCAUCGUGCCAUCAAAGCCGCUUUACAACGUCACCACUGUCCUUCCAAGCCAUCGAACGUCACCACUGUCCUUCCAAGCCAUCGAACGUCACCACUGUCCUUCCAAGUCAUCGAGCGUCACCACUGUCCUUCCGAGCCAUCGAGCGUC